rnacentral:rRNA from 1 species
CAGCAAUGCGUGGCAUACGGCUCAGUAACACGUGGUCAACAUGCCCAGGGGACGUGGAUAACCUCGGGAAACUGAGGAUAAACCGCGAUAGGCCAAGGUUUCUGGAAUGGACACUGGCUGAAACCUAUAUGGCCCCUGGAUUGGACUGCGGCCGAUCAGGCUGUUGGUGAGGUAAUGGCCCACCAAACCUGUAACCGGUACGGGCUUUGAGAGAAGGAGCCCGGAGAUGGGCACUGAGACAAGGGCCCAGGCCCUAUGGGGCGCAGCAGGCGCGAAAAUUCUGCAAUAGGCGAAAGCUUGACAGAGUUACUCUGAGUGAUGCCCGCUAAGGGCAUCUUUUGGCACCUCUAAAAAUGGUGCAGAAUAAGGGGUGGGCAAGUCUGGUGUCAGCCGCCGCGGUAAUACCAGCACCCCGAGUGGUCGGGACGAUUAUUGGGCCUAAAGCAUCCGUAGCUUGUUCUGCAAGUCUUCCGUUAAAUCCACCUGCUCAACAGAUGGGCUGCGGGAGAUACUACAGGGCUAGGAGGCGGGAGAGGCAAGCGGUACUCAGUGGGUAGGGGUAAAAUCCUCUGAUCCACUGAAGACCACCAGUGGCGAAGGCGGCUUGCCAGAACGCGCUCGACGGUGAGGGAUGAAAGCUGGGGGAGCAAACCGGAUUAGAUACCCGGGUAGUCCC